CGGGCAUCUCGCGGGAGAGCGCAGUCCCGGCCGCGCUCGAGCCGACGAGAGCCGCGCGCGCACCGCGCAAGGUGGAGGACUCCGCGUCGACGCGGACUCUUCUCCUCCCGGUAUCGGGGAGCUUGAUGCGAAAAGCAGGAGAAGAUAUCUACACGGCGCACGUCCUGCGCGCGUCCAAGCGAUUUUUAUGCCAUUCCCAGAAGAGACCAGCGAGUCCUGCGUGAUCUCUGAAUGACCACGUUACUCUUGUUACUCUGACGCGAAUAUCGGUGUUACCAAUUAGUGUGGCCAAUAAUUAAAUAAUUUAAUUGACUAGGCGCUAAGAAUAUUCUGUGUCCCGAGUUGCUCGCGAACGCAACGAUUAGCCGAGACACAUUAACUUUCCUUGACACGCGUGAUUUCCUAAUACACUAAAUCUCUUAUUCUGAACUCUCCUUUGUCCAUAAAAAUGCUUCUGAAUGUGCUUACAAGUCAAGAAGACUUAUAAGUCAUAUUUAAGGUCAUAUCGCUUUCAUCGAUAAAAGAAAGUUCAGAGUAAAGACCGAAAACUCGGUUUGAGCAAUUAAUUUCUAAAUAAUGGAAAUGAACCAUAAUAUAAGUUUUUUUUUAAUAUGAACUUUCCCCGAUAGACUGAUGCACGUAAACUUUACAGUAUCUUUAAAUAUAUAUUAAAUCACACGAAAUUCUGUAAUGUUGAAUCUUUUAUGACUGAUCAGAUUGCACUUAUAUUUACUACAUAGAAUGAUGAAAUGGAAGUACGAAAAAAAUGAUUAAAAUUUGUUCUAACAAUAUGUCAUGGUAAAUGUGAAAGUAUAACUUUAGUAAAUUUGUUAUUGCCUUAAUACAACAAGGAAUUUACAUUAUUGUAUAUGAUGUGUAAAUUUAAAAAUUAAUUCAAUACACACUAUAUUUACUUCA